AAGAAGAACUGGCACAGAAGGAGAGAAACACACUAAAUACACGAGGAAGAUUGUAUUUUUUGCGGUGCUAUAUUGUAGUGCAUUACUACUAAGAGGUAAUUAGGGACAGGUGAAAACAAUUAACGCGACGGGGAACAAUCACAAGCGGGAAACACAUGGGCCGGAAGUGUUGCAGCAUGUAGCUAUGGAGAAGGGCGAGACGUGACAAAGGAAGAAUAAACUCGCGUCCUGAAGGCAGUUUAUGAAAAACUAGGGUCCUGAAACGUCAGCAUCCUGUAUUGCAGAAACAUACCACCAAAAUUCAACGUCUCUAGCCAUCGGCUCUGAGGGGGUGUGGGGCCACAAGGGGAAACCGGGGCACCAGCGCAGUGGGGCAGUGCCUUGAAAGUGACCCUUAUGUACCUGAGCAUAUGGUGAAAUCACUGGACAAAUGGAUCCCAAUGUUUGGCUGUCUCCCCUCUCACCUACGGACCCCCGCUGGCGGCGAGGGGCAGAGUGGAGAGGACAUCUUCCAAGUUGCAUUUCUGGCGGGGACAUUUUCAGGGACAGAUCACCAGCAACAUGCAGUGUACUCAGACGAUGAGGACGUCUGGUCCCCUACUCUGAACACCCUUCUUUAGCUUGAACAUCGCAAGAUUCUCACCUGUGGAGAGGGUCUCGCAGAGGGAGAACAAAGCACUUAUCUGAGUCAAUUGGAGCGAAUGGGAAACUAACAACUCACCGGCUGGCUGGUUUUAUUGCUUUGUUUGGAGACAAAUCCCGCGAUAUCCUCAGCCGGCGUGGAGCCGGGCGGUGGCAGAGCCUGGUCUUUGAGCUGUUUCUCCACUGCUUGGUUUAUUUUGUAUCGAAUCCUUCCCUUCCUCCGUGAAGCUGUCUGCCAGCACUGAGAUUUGUUUCCAUGGCAGGCUCUAUACCGCCUCAUAAAUCUCAAAGGUGUAAUAGUCUAUGGAGGCUGGACCCACACUUCAAGAUGUUUGCGUGUUAAGAUUUUUGCGCGUGUUUGUAUUAUUUAACAGUGAAUAAUACCAUAGUUUUCGCUAGGACUAAGCAACGAUACUGAC
ensembl:lncRNA